rfam:Candidatus Stoquefichus sp. KLE1796 genomic scaffold Scaffold132, whole genome shotgun sequence.
AGAAUAUAUAGGCAAAACUAUCGAAAGGUAGUGACGCAAAGCUAUAGGGCCUGAAAUGGCAGCCAGUUGCAUCA